rnacentral:rRNA from 1 species
GUAGUCCACGCCGUAAACGAUGGAUGCUAGCUGUGGGGGGUAUCGACCCCUUCCGUAGCGAAGCUAACGCGUUAAGCAUCCCGCCUGUGGAGUACGGCCGCAAGGCUAAAACAUAAAGGAAUUGACGGGGACCCGCACAAGCGGUGGAGCAUGUUCUUUAAUUCGAUGGUAACCGAUAAACCUUACCAGGGUUUGACAUCCUUCGAAUUGCUCCGAAAGGAACAAGUGCUUUUUAGAACGAAGUGACAGGUGCUGCAUGGCCGUCGUCAGCUCGUGUCGUGAGAUGUUUGGUUAAGUCCAUCAACGAGCGCAACCCCUAUGAAUAGUUGGAUUUUUCUAUUCAGACUGCC